rnacentral:rRNA from 1 species
AUUGAACGCUGGCGGCAUGUUUUACACAUGCAAGUCGAACGGUAACAGGUCUUCGGAUGCUGACGAGUGGCGAACGGGUGAGUAAUACAUCGGAACGUGCCUAGUAGUGGGGGAUAACUACUCGAAAGAGUAGCUAAUACCGCAUGAGAUCUACGGAUGAAAGCAGGGGACUUUCGGGCCUUGUGCUACUAGAGCGGCUGAUGGCAGAUUAGGUAGUUGGUGGGGUAAAGGCUUACCAAGCCUGCGAUCUGUAGCAGGUCUGAGAGGACGACCAGCCACACUGGGACUGAGACACGGCCCAGACUCCUACGGGAGGCAGCAGUGGGGAAUGUUGGACAAUGGGCGAAAGCCUGAUCCAGCAAUGCCGCGUGCAGGAUGAAGGCCCUCGGGUUGUAAACUGCUUUUGUACGGAACGAAAAGCCUGGGGCUAAUAUCCCCGGGUCAUGACGGUACCGUAAGAAUAAGCACCGGCUAACUACGUGCCAGCAGCCGCAGUAA